rnacentral:tRNA from 1 species
GGCCUCGUGGUGUAGCGGUUAACAUCCCGCCCUGUCACGGCGGUGAGCGUGGGUUCGAAUCCCAUCGAGGUCGCCA